rnacentral:rRNA from 1 species
ACGGAAGCAGCAGUGGGGAAUAUUGGACAAUGGGGGAAACCCUGAUCCAGCGACGCCGCGUGAGUGAAGAAGUAUUUCGGUAUGUAAAGCUCUAUCAGCAGGAAAGAAAAUGACGGUACCUGACUAAGAAGCCCCGGCUAACUACGUGCCAGCAGCCGCGGUAAUACGUAGGGGGCAAGCGUUAUCCGGAUUUACUGGGUGUAAAGGGAGCGUAGACGGUAAGGCAAGUCUGAAGUGAAAUGCGGGGGCUCAACCCCUGAACUGCUUUGGAAACUGUUUUACUAGAGUGCAGGAGAGGUAAGUGGAAUUCCUAGUGUAGCGGUGAAAUGCGUAGAUAUUAGGAGGAACACCAGUGGCGAAGGCGGCUUACUGGACUGUAACUGACGUUGAGGCUCGAAAGCGUGGGGAGCAAACAGGAUUAGAUACCCUGGUA